AGCAGCGAGACCCAAGACCAACAGCAGCGAAGGAAGACCAUCAACGCCGGCCCCCAGCGGUGGCAGCAGCAGCAGCAUCGCCCACAGGCGCGGAGUAGUCCGCCUUCUCCCUCCGGUGGCGCCUGCAGUUUCGGUUUCCUCAACUCUCUCCUCCUGAACCAGCGGCCAGCUCGCCGCCUCUAGCAGCAACACCACUCUCUCGUCUGUUCCUCCUUGCCGCUCCAGCACAUGGAGCAGAGGAGAAGAAGAGGAUGACCGAAGGAGACCGAUCUGCAGUGAAGCAGAUCCAAAGAACCCGAACGAACCAGAUUUGAAAAGGGGAAAGGAAGGGAAGCCGAUCUGAAAACAAGAUUAAAACAGACUUGCUUGUUGCGUUUUGUUGUUUUGCAGGUAACGGCGUUGUCGCCGCCGGCAAGGAAGAGAAGAGGGGAGAAAGCCAUUUCUGGCCCCCCUGUUUCUGGUUUGAUUUCACGGCGGCGCGUGGACCCACGCGCCGCCAGCGGCGGUGGUGCGUGAGAUCCACGCGCCGCCACUGUCCUUGCUGUUCCAGAGGUCUUCACAGCACUAUUCCAGCGACUCAGAGGUUACCAGCACUGUCCCGGAUUGUUUUGGGUCAUUUUUUGGAAUUUUAGAAUUGUUUAAUGUUAUAUUUGUGUAAUUUUGAGUUUUUCUUUUCAUAGUUUGUAUUUUAUAUUUUAUGUAAAUGUGGAUGUAGAAGAAAAGAAAGAAAAGAAAAGAAAAAGAAAUGUUUGUGUGUGUUUGUUUUUUUUUUAUUUAUAUUAUUGAAUUAAAAAAAAAAAAGGACAAAAAGAAUUAAUUGUUAAUUUAAAUAUGCACAAAUAUCUAAAGGACAGAUAAAAAUCAUGUUGUAUUUCCCAUAAAAAUGUAGAACAUGUAUCUACAUAUAUUUUGGGAAUGAAUAACUGAUUUAUCAAAGCCUUAGAAUUGGGCUAAAAUUUUAUUUUUAAAAUGCAUCAAGUCCACGAAGCAGCUUACCUCAGGUAGGGUGUGUUAGGGGUGCUAAUACCUUCCCUAACCACAACCAGUCCCUUACCCAUGAAUCUCUGACAAGACCAGUAUAUCCGGUUUCCUAGUAGCCCGCAAUUAAUUACUAGGUGGCGACUCCAACGAACCAAGUAAAACGAACAACGAUAAAAUCGCCAGCCGAUGCCGCGCGGAUUUUUUUGACGUGCGACAGAAUGGCGACUCCGCUGGGGAAGGUAUUGUUUCUGACGAUAUUGGACUAAGCUUUGUGUAUUUGAUGUGUUUAUGUUUUUGCAUUUUUGUCUUGUUUUAUUUUUGUUUUAUUCAUGCAUUUUGUAGAAUUGUCUCAUGCAUCACAUAUUUUGAUUUUUCAAAGCACACACAAGCUUCAGGUUAGGAGGGGGACUAGCAGCUUACCUUAUGACUUUUAGUCAAGGUUUAAGUUUGUGUAAACCCCAACUCUUUGUUGAGUGCUUAGACUGGUAAUAGUUGGACAUGUGCCAUCUCAUUGCCUACAAGCCCCCAUAUUGCCUCCACGAGGGCAAUCACUGGGACAACAAGAGACCCUUUUUAGAGACCAAGUAGUAAACCUAUCUUUUGUCUCACUUAAAAAGAUUAGAACCUGCCUUUAGGAUGUGUGCUCCGUAUAUAUUGUUUUGCAUCAGGGCAAACCCUUCUUGAAGCAUCUUGAACUCAAGACUUUUGGGUGACCCAAUGGCCGUCACUCAGAAAAUUUUCAUUGUAGAGUUUGGGCAAGAAUCAAGAUUCUUGUUUCAUCAUACAAGAGUUACGACCAUAUGUCACCCCUCGAAGGGCGAGUUCUUCAUAUAGUUUACAUGUUCAUACAUUUAUCAUGCAUGUACCGGGAGGAAAAAUAGGUUCCCCCAUCCGAGCUUUGCUACACCUGAUUGAACAAAGAUGAUGAGAAAUGAAGAAAGGAGUCAAAGAGAAGCUCAUUAUCAAAGGGGAGUUGAGAGCAUCAAAGUAGCUAGACUCAGAUCUCCCUAAACAAGUGUUAAGCAUCAAAUGGAAAGAGAAUGUCUGCACAAUCUUCUGUGGAAACACUGCUUGUCCACGUCCAAGUGAAGCUGCACCUCUCCAUUUCAGUCCUGAACAACAACAGCAAUGCCUUCAGUCAUCAACUAAUGACAACUCUGUUCUUGUUCAGUUGCCCUGUUAAUUGUUCAUCGCCUCCACAUCUUUCAAUGGCACCAAAUAAUUGCUAGCCUUCUGUGCAUGAUGCAUUAGCCUUCUUUGAGGUUACCCUCACUGUGAGCUUAAUUCCAGUUCAAAAAAAAACAAAAAACAAAAAAAAAACAAAAAAAACCAUGAUUAGACACUGAACUUCAAUGUGGCAGAGCUCUCUCUACAAAAAUCUGUUUAUGGCUCUGCAAGUUGGGAAUGCAAGAGGGGAUUUAUAAGUUGCAUAUGCUAUAAAAAUCUCUCAUCAGUUUCAGCACAAAAACACUACAGUAGGUUGAAGAGCCAGACAUGGUCUGAAAAACAUGAACAAACACCAAACUUCUACGUUGCAGAGCUCUCUCUGUAGAGAUUGUUUUGGGGAUCUGCCAGUGGGGAAUGCAAGAGGGGAUGCAGUACUUUCAUAUGCUACAAAACUUUGGCUCAUCAGUUUCAGCACUGAAACACUGGAGUAGGCCGAAGAGUCAGACCUAGUCUGAAAACAUGAGCAGUCGUCGAACUUUGACGUGGCAGAGCUCUCUCUACAAAAACCUGUUUAUGGCUCUGCAAGUGGGGAAUUCAAGAGGGGAUGUAGUAGUUCUAGACAAUGUGAAAAGUUACCCCACCAGCUUCAGCAUCGAAACACUGUAGUAGGCAGAAAAGCCAGACUUGAGCUAGAAAACAGGAGCAAAUAUAGAACUUCACCGUGGCAGAGCUCUCUCUGCAGAAACCUGUUUGUAGAUCUGCAAGUGGAGAAUCCAAGAAGGGAUGCAGUAGUUUCUGAUCAUCUAUAAUUUUCUCUCAUCGGUGUUAGCUUGAAAAUGCAAAAGAAGGGAAAAGAGACAAACCUCGGCUGAAAAAUAGAAAGAAGAUUGAAACUUCAACAGAGCAGAGCUCCCUCUACAGGUGUCUGUUUGCUGCACCAUCAGUGAGGAAUCAAAGAGGAGACAAAGGAGUUUCAGAUUCAUCAGUUUCUCCUCCAAUAAAAACAAUGCACAUUUCAUGCAGUGACAGUGAUAGCGCUGCAUGAUUCUAUGCGCUGGCAAGAUUACCUAGCUGUUGGAAGGUUUCCAACAAUCCACAAAGGACCACAACAACAUUGGAAGAAUGACAUGAUGUUGUGAAGAUCAUCAAAAGAAUUGAGCUAGCUGUCAAGAUGGGAAAGAUUGAAGGAUCUGCCAUGGAUUCCAGAACUGUGAAGAGAUGAAUCAGGAGAUGACUCUGAAAACGGGAAACCAUAGUUAUGUGGUUUAGUCAAGUCUCACUGUAGCACCAGCUACUCAAGUGUCGUUGCCAAGAUUGACAUCUUUCUGCCACCCAAGUUGGACUACUAGCAUCUGUCAGAUUCCAGACUUUUUGCCUAACUCUGUUAAAUCCCAUGCAACCACUGUUUCUUAUGUGAUCCAAACAAGAGAUUUGAAUAUCAUGGGGGGAUUUCAGGCCAUUCAGUUGAAUAAUUGCAAGAAUCGAGUCCGCAAAUUGGUGAGCAAAAGACGAGAGGAAUCUGUGAAGGAGCUUGUCAUCGAUCAUUUUAUCGCCAGAACAUCCUCAGAAUGACGAGUGAUCGAAAUUGCUCGGUAAACACAGAUAUUGCCAGAAUAGUUGAUCCAAGAAGGGCGUUGAACUGUCAAUCAUGUUGUUAUGGAAUUUUUGCCAUUCUGCAUUUUGUUUUGGGGUCACAUCUCAUCCUUGAACGAAACAUGUCUUUUCUUUGUCUUUUUGUUGUUUUGAAAUCAAGAGAUGCUUCUUUCAAAGGGUAUUUUGACAAAAAUAUUUUUUUGAUCAAACUCCAACAUACAAAAUUAAAGCUAGUCAAUCCUGAAGAUUAAAAGUGUUUUGAUUGCGGAAAUGACUUGAUGCUUGAAAAGGACAUGAGGUGACCAAACAAUUUUGAACUCAUAUCUCCUGAAACUGAACAACACAUCAUAUAACUAAGUUUUAGCAGUAUGCAUAAUGACAUGUAGUGGAUUCGGUAGUUAUGGACUCGUGAAUCAUGACUCUUACAAGUCCAAAUCAUUACACUAGAUGAGGUCAAAAUUUAUCGAUUCUAACCGACUUUGCUUGAAAUGAGAAAAGGCCAUCUUCGAUAUCCCUUCACUUUCUAAAGAUUAUAUCCCUUGCAGUCCUAUUUUGAGCCUGGUAAAAUAUUCUCUUUCAAAAAGAAACCUUGACUAGGAUCACACCCCACACUGGGGGCAAUGAGAGAUAUGUUAUUAGGAAGGAUGAAGACACUGAUAGAAUCAAUGAUAAAAGAAAGGCUUAGAAUAAAAGCCCAAUGAUUGAGAAAGGGAGAACAAGAAAAGCCAUAGAUUGAGGGUCAUCCAAGAAAACUUUGAGGAAGGUUAUGUAAAAGCAAAAAAAAAAAAAAAAGGUGGAAAUGAAGGAGAAUGCCUAUCAAUUCUAAGAGGGGCAAAAAAGGUUUCAAUGGAAGAAAGACACAACAAAUGUCAAAAGUCAACACCAAAAAAAUCAAGUUUCAUGUCUUUUGGUGUGUCUAGGAUAAAGCCUUUAGUGUCUUCAAAAUUUUUUAGAUUCAUUAUUCAUCAGAGAUAAAGUUGGAUUAGCAUUAUGACCUAUGUUAAGAGAAUUCUGAUAUUUGAGAUAAACAAGGUUAUAUAUCACUUUCUCUACUAUGACAACAAGAGAAAGAGAGUUGAUGAAUAGUUGAUGUUGAUCUUAGGUCUUUGAAACCCUCAAACACCUAUUGAGCUUUGAAAAUUCCUUUCUUUCAUAGCCAUGAACCAUAGCCUACAUUACGUGCUCUUAAAAGCCCUUUUUAAUCAAGUAAACAAUUUGAACCGAUAAAUGGCGCUCUAAAAAACUUGAAGAGUUGUUCUAUAAGGGUCGUGACUUCAUGGAUUAAGCUACUGGUUAUUAUGCAUGCUGAUAAAAUUGAUGCUAAAAAAAAAAGAAAACAAUCUUUCUUGAUGAAUCCUCAAGUUUUGACUUGAGCCUUUUGUUUCUUGAAAUUCACAGAAGGUCACCUCAUCGCAGACCAUCAAAAGAUAUACCCAAGAUCAAAGAUUAAAACUGACAAAGAACCAUGAAAAAAAACCAUUUUAGUCUUACAACGGGUCAAUUUCUGUUUUCAAAAUACAUGACAAUCAAAGGACUGUAUAUUUCGAAUAACGUGUGUUGGAUCUUUGGCCGAAGAAACUUGAUUUUCAAAAACUAACAUCUCUCUGAUUUCAUUUCAACAACUAGACUUUGAAUUGACAUGAUCUUUGAAAUAUGAGAGUUGAUUCCAGAACAAGAAAGAUUGUUAAACAACAAGAACAUCGACCGAAUUUGCAAAAUCCUUGACAAGAAUGACAACAACAUUUCUCGACACUCCUUGAAAAGUUGACUGCUUGGAGGUAAUACAGUGGAUCAUGGGUAGGAAAACAAACAGUAUUCAGAUCAGCUGGGGGCAAUGAAAGAUGAUCAAAGGAUGAAUCAAUGCACUGAGGACAAUGGUGUUUAAAGAAAGCUAAUCAGCAGAACAAGCACAUUCAGAUCAUUACUCGGGGCAAUGUUGUUCAAAGACAGUCAGUGAUUUAGUGAACUUCAGCAGCAAUUGAUGAGCAACGCUGCACUUGAAGGGCAUUUUAUUAUCUUCAUCUUGGGGUUACCCUUUGAAACAUGGCUAUGACAGAUGUUAUCUCAUAGUUGCAUUAGAAUGAAUGUCAGAAAGAUGCACACCACCAAGACUGACUGUGGGACCAUCUAUUCUGAAGCUCAAAUGCGCACUUCACCGCAUGAAUAUGGGUGAUGAACAUCAUUGAUGAUGCCAACACAUUUCCUUUCAUGAUCUGAUUUGACAAGCUGAGAAGAAUCCAUGGAGAAGAACAUUGAGCUUACAACGAUGAGCCUUUUUUACUGCAAGAGGAUAAUUCUUAGAAGGAUCCAGGAGAGAAAAUCCUUCACGAUGAAUCAAGCAACACCACACUUGGGGGCAGAGUCAAGUGAUAAACAGCAAGAGCAGUAACCGUCGAAGACAGCCCAGGAUGUGCACUGCACUUACAACUGAGGGGAUGGCUAGCACAUGAAUGAGCCAAUGCAUCGAAAGAACCAAUAAAGCUUUGGAAUGCAAACAAAGGCACCCUAUAACGAUGGAUCAUCAAAGGGAGGGGCCUAUAUUUCACAUCAGGUAAGGAUGCAUGCAUGUCAUCUAACCUCAAAGCAUUGCACAUACUUGUGAUUUGUUACAGAAAGAUCCUCAAUGAAGUCCAGCAAGAUUAUGGACAAAGAAAGAAUCAUUGAGUCGAUAAUAACAGAGAAUCAUGGUUGUGACCUUGAAACGGGAAGAAGAUGAGAUAAACCUUACUGUUAGGAAAAUCUCAAAGAAAUGAAAAGAUCAACCUUGCAAUCAGAAAGCAUCGAGUUUUCAAACCCUGCGAUCAAGAAUUAUCAAGAAGCACCAAGUUUUCUGCCCUUCUUCUAUCAUCCCUUCAGGACUUCGCCAGGUAAGUCCCAUUUUUCACACUUGUCACAUCACAUCUUUCAUUUGGGUAGGUCACCCAUAACAAUGAGACCAUUUCAUAUUUUUUCUAUCCUCCACCUGGGUAGGUCACCCAUUACAAUGAGACCACUUCAUAUUUUUUCUAUCCUCCACCUGGGUAGGUCACCCAUAACAAUGAGACCACUUCACAUUUUUUCUAUCUUCCACUUGGGUAGGUCACCCAUAACAAUGAGACCACUUCAUAUUUUUUAUAUCCUCCAUCUGGGUAGGUCACCCAUUACAAUGAGACCACUUCAUAUUUUUUCUAUCCUCCACCUGGGUAGGUCACCCAUAACAAUGAGACCACUUCAUAUUUGUUCUAUCUUCCAUCUGGGUAGGUCACCCAUUAUAACGCGACCACUUCACUUUUUUUCUAUCUUCCACCUGGGUAGGUCACCCAUUAUAACACGACCACUUCACAUUUUUUCUAUCUUCCACCUGGGUAGGUCACCCAUUAUAAUGAGACCGCACUUCACAUUCUUUCCGUUUGGGUAGGUCACCCAUCAUAAUGAGACCAUUUUCCAUCAUUUUUUCUUGGGUUCGUCACCCAUACAAUGAGACCAUCAUUUUUUUCUUGGGUUCGUCACCCAUACAAUGAGACCAUCAUUUUUUUCUUGGGUUAGUCACCCAUACAAUGAGACCAUCAUUUUUCUGGGGUUCGUCACCCAUACAAUGAGACCACCAUUUUUCUUGAGUUCGUCACCCAUACAAUGAGACCACCAUUUUUCUUGGGUUCGUCACCCAUACAAUGAGACCAUCAUUUUUCUGGGGUUCGUCACCCAUACAAUGAGACCAUCAUUUUUCUGGGGUUCGUCACCCAUACAAUGAGACCAUCAGUUUUCUUGGGUUCGUCACCCAUACAAUGAGACCAUUUGUUCCACAUUCUUUGUUUUGGUUUAAUGAGGUCGCCAGAUGGGAUCUCAUGUAGCUUUGGUUAAAGGGAAUCGCCAGAUGGGAUUUCAGGUUAACCGAGUUACGUAACAUCUUUUAGUUUUGGUUUAAUGAGGUCGCCAGAUGGGAUCUCAUGUAGCUUUGGUUAAAGGGAAUCGCCAGAUGGGAUUUCAGGUUGACCGAGCUACCACACAUUUUUUUAGUUCCAGUUGAAUGAGGUUGCCAGAUGGAAUCUCAUGUAGCUUUGGUUAAAGGGAAUCGCCAGAUGGGAUUUCAGGUUGACCGAGCUACCACACAUUUUUAAGUUCAAAUUGAAUGAGGUCGCCAGAUGGGAUCUCAUGUAGCUUUGGUUAAAGGGAAUCGCCAGAUGGGAUUUCAGGUUGACCGAGCUACCACACAUUUUUUAGUUCCAGUUGAAUGAGGUCGCCAGAUGGGAUCUCAUGUAGCUUUGGUUAAAGGGAAUCGCCAGAUGGGAUUUCAGGUUGACCGAGCUACACACAUUCUUUGGUUUUGAAAAAGGAGAUCGCCAGAUGGGAUCUCAAGUUAACAAAAAAAAAAAAAGGAAAGAAACAUUUAGAGUUUUUCUUUACAAAGCUUACUAUGCGAAACAUUGAGGAGUUUUGCUUCGUAAGCAUUGUAAAGAGGGGGCAUCUGUUGCUACCCAAUUUUUGACCCAUGUUUUGAUAAAUUUUUAAAAAAAUUCAAAAAUAGCGAAAAACAUUGAAAACCCAAAAAAUACAUUUUUUAUAUAUUUGCAUCGUUUUUAGCAUUUUCAGCGUCGUCUAAAAAGAAUUUAAAUUUUCAAAGGUCUUUCGAACGCGUUCAACUUUUAACGCGUUAAUUUUAAAAUCAUUGAUUUUCCUCAUUGAGUCGACGUUGAUAUUGCUCGUUUUCAAAAAUACAAAAAAAUUAAAGAAAAUCAAAUUUAAAAAAAAAAAAGAAAGUUGAGGAAUCAAGUUUGAGGUCCAAACAAUAUUUUGCGGAAUUUUAAAUAUCAGAGGGGGAGGCAACCAGCCGCUCCCCCUGGCCCAAGACCAUUGGAUCCCUCUCUUUCGGCUGAAAAGCAGGAACUCAGCUCCCCACUUCUUUUCCUUUUUUCCAGCCGACAACAGGCCCUCCUCACAAGGAGGAACCCCUAUUUCUUGUCAUCUCCAGCUACACACCAGAGGGGGGGGAUAGUCCCAGAUUUUUCUUCUUCCUGACAGCCGUGGGCAGGGGCCCACGGCUCCCCAAUCUCACUUCCUUCUCUCACAGCCAUCAUCAGCCCUGCCCCUCUCAUCGCCAUUUCCCCUGCCAUUUCAGCCUUCCACCUCUGCCUCUCCACCCUCACAGCAGACCAGCCACAAGCCUCACGUCUGCCCCUGACAUCUCCCCCCUGGAUUUUCUUCUCUACUCCCUCAACUGCACAGCCGGCCCUUUCCCCUUGAUUUUUUUCCUCUCAUCUUCUUCCCCUCAGCAGCCGGCACAAACAGCAGCCCAGCCCUCCUAGACCCAUAUAGACCCAGCACCAGCUCCCACAGCACCGUUUCCCUCCAGCUUCUUCACCCAAAACCAUCCUUCCAUCUCCAAUUUUCUGCCCACUCAAGACAGCCCCUCACCUCCUCUCUUACUCCGAUCUUCACUCAUCAAUCGGCCAUAGACCAACAACAGCCACGAAUUAGCUCCCCCUUCCACAGAUCCUCUCUCUCAGCUGCUCCCUUCUCCAGCCGCAGCGGCGCCUUCUUCAUCCGGCAGCACCCAGCAGAGCCUUCCUUCUCCAGCUCCUCCCUCACAAAUCGCCCUGCAGCCGACAUCCAGCAGCGAGACCCAAGACCAACAGCAGCGAAGGAAGACCAUCAACGCCGGCCCCCAGCGGUGGCAGCAGCAGCAGCAUCGCCCACAGGCGCGGAGUAGUCCGCCUUCUCCCUCCGGUGGCACCUGCAGUUUCGGUUUCCUCAACUCUCUCCUCCUGAACCAGCGGCCAGCUCGCCGCCUCUAGCAGCAACACCACUCUCUCGUCUGUUCCUCCUUGCCGCUCCAGCACAUGGAGCAGAGGAGAAGAAGAGGAUGACCGAAGGAGACCGAUCUGCAGUGAAGCAGAUCCAAAGAACCCGAACGAACCAGAUUUGAAAAGGGGAAAGGAAGGGAAGCCGAUCUGAAAACAAGAUUAAAACAGACUUGCUUGUUGCGUUUUGUUGUUUUGCAGGUAACGGCGUUGUCGCCGCCGGCAAGGAAGAGAAGAGGGGAGAAAGCCAUUUCUGGCCCCCCUGUUUCUGGUUUGAUUUCACGGCGGCGCGUGGACCCACGCGCCGCCAGCGGCGGUGGUGCGUGAGAUCCACGCGCCGCCACUGUCCUUGCUGUUCCAGAGGUCUUCACAGCACUAUUCCAGCGACUCAGAGGUUACCAGCACUGUCCCGGAUUGUUUUGGGUCAUUUUUUGGAAUUUUAGAAUUGUUUAAUGUUAUAUUUGUGUAAUUUUGAGUUUUUCUUUUCAUAGUUUGUAUUUUAUAUUUUAUGUAAAUGUGGAUGUAGAAGAAAAGAAAGAAAAGAAAAGAAAAAGAAAUGUUUGUGUGUGUUUGUUUUUUUUUUAUUUAUAUUAUUGAAUUAAAAAAAAAAAAGGACAAAAAGAAUUAAUUGUUAAUUUAAAUAUGCACAAAUAUCUAAAGGAC
rnacentral:lncRNA from 1 species